CCUACGGGUGGCAGCAGUGGGGAAUAUUGCGCAAUGGGCGAAAGCCUGACGCAGCGACGCCGCGUGAGGGAUGAAGGUCUUCGGAUCGUAAACCUCUGUCAGCAGGGAAGAACGGUCACUGUGCUAAUCAGCAGUGAAUUGACGGUACCUUCAAAGGAAGCACCGGCUAACUCCGUGCCAGCAGCCGCGGUAAGACGGAGGGUGCGAGCGUUAAUCGGAAUUACUGGGCGUAAAGCGCUCGUAGGCGGUAUGUCAAGUCAAGGGUGAAAUCCCCGCGCUCAACGUGGGAACUGCCUGUGAAACUGGCAAACUGGAGUGUGGGAGAGGAUAGUUGAAUGCCAGGUGUAGGAGUGAAAGCCGUAGAUAUCUGGAGGAACAUCAGUGGCGAAGGCGACUAUCUGGCACAUAACUGACGCUGAGGAGCGAAAGCGUGGGUAGCAAACAGGACUAGAUACCCCAGUAGUC
rnacentral:rRNA from 1 species